GAACCCGGUUCGAGAAGGCGGGGAAGAUGAAAAGGUGUUAAAUGAAAAAAUGAACUGGGAGCUUUCCUUUUAAUGGGAACACCUGCUGCAAAUUUUUCACAACCAAGAUCGUACCUUUUUUAGGGGCUUAAAGUGUGCAAAAAUUAAUAGAUGGUAUGGGGACCCCGCAGUUGUGGGGCCCGUUGAAUUAGUCGCCACCUGUUUUUCUCUUUUUUCUUUGGGGGGUUGGAGGGAACAAAUUUUCGAUUCAGUCGGGUUUCGGAGCGUGCACACUGGUACCCGAAAGAUGGUGAACUAUGCUUGAGCAGAAUGAAGCCAGAGGAAACUCUGGUGGAAGUUCGUAGCGGUGUUGACGUGCAAAUCACUCGUCUGACUUGAGUGUAGGGGCGAAAGACUAAUCGAACCAUCUAGUUGCUGGUUCCUUCCGAAGUUUCCCUCAGGAUAGCUGGCAUUUGUUUGUAACAAUUUUAUCCGGUAGAGCGAAUGAUUAGAGGUGUUGGGAACGCAAUGUUCUCAGCCUAUUCUCAAACUUCGAAUGGGUAAGCAAGGCGUUUUGCUUUGAUUUUACGAUGAAAUCGCCCAAUUAGAAUGUAUAAAUGCCUAGUGGGCCAAUUUUGGUAAGCAGAACUGGCGAUGUGGAAUGAACCAAAAGUCAGGUUAAGGUGCCAGACAUUGGCGCUCAUGAAAUACCAGAAAAGGUGUUGGUCGAUAUAGACAGCAGGACGGUGGCCAUGGAAGUUGGAAUCCGCCAAGGAGUGUGUAACAACUCACCUGCCGAAUCGACUAGCCCUGAAAAUGGAUAGCGUUUGAGCUCCAGGCCCAUACCUGACCGUCUCAAUUACGCACUUUUUUUUCGGAAAAGGUGUAAUGAACGUUGAGACGGGUAGGAAGGUCGCGACAGUGUUGCUUUGAAGAGUUUUGAGCGUGAGCUCGCUCGGAGCCGCUGUUGGUGCAGAUCUUGGUGGUAGUAGCAAAUAUUCAAGUGAGAACC
rnacentral:ncRNA from 1 species